UCUUAAAACGUUUCUGUGCUGAGAACAGA
rnacentral:piRNA from 1 species